rnacentral:rRNA from 1 species
AGCAGCCGCGGUAAUUCCAGCUCCAAUAGCGUAUAUUAAAGUUGUUGCAGUUAAAAAGCUCGUAGUUGAAUUUCGGGAUCAAUUUGUUGGUCGUGCCUCGGUACGUACUGGCAUUAUUGGUUUCUACCUUCUGAAGAACCUUGAUGUCAUUAAUUUGGUGUCUUGGGGAAUCAGGACUGUUACUUUGAAAAAAUUAGAGUGUUUAAAGCAGGCAUACGCUUGAAUACAUUAGCAUGGAAUAAUGAAAUAGGACGUUUGAUUCUAUUUUGUUGGUUUCUAGGAUCGACGUAAUGAUUAAUAGGGAUAGUUGGGGGCAUUAGUAUUCAAUUGUCAGAGGUGAAAUUCUUGGAUUUAUUGAAGACUAACUACUGCGAAAGCAUUUGCCAAGGAUGUUUUCAUUAAUCAAGAACGAAAGUUAGGGGAUCGAAGACGAUCAGAUACCGUCGUAGUCUUAACCAUAAACUAUGCCGACUAGGGAUCGGAUGAUGUUAUUUUUAAUGACUCAUUCGGCGCCUUACGG